rnacentral:rRNA from 1 species
AGCGAACGCUGGCGGCAGGCUUAACACAUGCAAGUCGAGCGGUCCUUUCGGGGUCAGCGGCGGACGGGUGAGUAACGCGUGGGAACGUGCCUUCCGGUUCGGAAUAACCCUGGGAAACUAGGGCUAAUACCGGAUACGCCCUUAUGGGGAAAGGUUUCCUGCGGGGAGAUCGGCCCGCGUCUGAUUAGCUAGUUGGUGGGGUAACGGUCUACAAAGGCGACGAUCAGUAGCUGGUCUGAGAGCAUGAUUAGCCACACUGGCACUGAGACACGGCCCAGACUCCUACGGGGCGCAGCAGUGGGGAAUAUUGGACAAUGGGCGCAAGCCUGAUCCAGCCAUGCCGCGUGAGUGAUGAAGGCCUGAGGGUUGUAAAGCUCUUUUAUCCGGGACGAUAAUGACGUUACCGGAGGAAUAAGCCCCGGCUAACUUCGUG